CCUCAGAGUGUUCCUAAGCACCGCUGGCAGAACCUUCUGGAAAGUUGCUCCCGCCCCACCUGUCCACUGGCGCUUCCCAGGGGCAGGGGCGGGAAGACCCUCUUUGCAGAACAAAGAGGAGGCAACUUCUCCUGGCAAGCUUAAGCAAAGAAUGGAAGCUUCCCAAGAGACAUCAUCAAGUAUCCCACAGGAAAUAGUUCCCAAGCGCACCUUCUUCUGCACGAAGCAGGCCAAGUGUCAGGCUGGAAAAAUGAAGUCACUAUCAGGACCUGGAUGCAGGAAGAAGAGACUCCAGACGGUCCAGGGCCCUCCCGUCCCGAUGGUUUGUUGCCUGAGAGCAAGAGGCUACCACCUGCAACCUAAGUGCGCAGUAGGCUAUACCAUCUAGGUUUGUGUAAGUGCAGUCUAUGAUGUUCACACGAUGACGAAAUCACCUAAUGCUGCAUUUCUCAGAACGUACCCUGUUGUUAAGCAGAGCACGAGCGUGUAUUGUCACGCAUCAUUGCUGGGAGAAGUUGGCACUGUUUGCACAACUCCGCUGGGAAAGGACAACUACGAGCACCUGAACUUCUCCUGGAUUCUGCCCUGUGCCCCUCUUCCUUUGGCUGAUUUUAAUCUGUAUCCUCUCGCUGUAAUGAAUCAUAUUCAUGAAUACAAUAGCUUUUCUGAGCUCUGUGAGU